rnacentral:rRNA from 1 species
AUUGAACGCUGGCGGCAGGCCUAACACAUGCAAGUCGAACGAGUGGCGGACGGGUGAGUAAUGUCUGGGAAACUGCCUGAUGGAGGGGUAUAACUACUGGAAACGGUAGCUAAUACCGCAAACCACCCGAUGUGCCCAGAUGGGUUUAGCUUGUUGGUGGGGUAACGGCUCACCAAGGCGACGAUCCCUAGCUGGUCUGGGAGGAGGACCAGCCACACUGGAACUGAGACACGGUCCAGACUCCUACGGGAGGCAGCAGUGGGGAAUAUUGCACAAUGGGCGCAAGCCGGAGGCAGCCAUGCCGCGUGUAUGAAGAAGGCCUUCGGGUUGUAAAGUACUUGCAGCGGGGAGGCGUUACCCGAAGAAGAAGCACCGGCUAACUCCGUGCCAGCAGCCGCGGUAAUUC